CACCCUACCUUCCCAUCUAAUUCCUUUACAGCUUUUCUGAUUUGAUUUGGGUCACGCCCAAUUAUUUUCUAUAAAUUGAACCAUUGUGUGCCUUGAUGUUCAUCUUGUGUUGUCAAUCCAGUUCCUUCCCUUUCUUUUACUUUGAUUUCUGUUGUUGUGAUUUUGUUGUAUUGAUCUGAAUGGGAGAUAUGAGUGGGCAUGUGAAUCCCAUAAAGAAGCUCUGUCCUUGGGAAAUUUGUCAGUGAAUGAACCAUUGAGUCCAGUGAAUGAAUUUGGGAGUGUAUCGCAGUGAAUGAGUUUUUAUAGCAUCUAAAUAAUUGCAAUGUGAUGCCAAGUUUUUUAUGCUAUUUUUCUAUUGAUGUCUGAUUGAAUGAUGGCAUGAAGGAAAGGUAUGGUGUGUAUUCAAAGCCAGUAAACCAAGAAGAUGUGUGCGGAUUUUUAAUCCUAUAAAUGGAAUGGCUGCAAUUGCUUCAUGGGAUUUGUAUAAGUUGUUGUUUCUCAACCAUUGCGAAGGUCUGCACAAGAGGAAGAUACUGAGUAGUAUUUUAGUUUUCUAAAAGUCUUGACUAAGGGGAACAAUUGGAAGAUGAAAUGUGAAAUGGUGGAAUAGUAAAGGCUGUUGCUGAGGGAUGAUGUAGAAGCCAAGAUUUUUAUGGGAGCUAAGAGUUUGUUGAAGCCCCUUUGCAGUUUUAUAAUCAGCUGUGCAUGAAGGAAAUUUGGUGGCUCAGGAAAUUGGAGAAAUUGCUCUCUUCAACCUUGCUGUGAAUAAGAACAGAUCCUUAAUUAAUGGGUACGUGUUAGAAACAUUUUAAUAAUGGAAACACAAAUGAAUGAAAUGAUGCUGAAGUUGGAAAUCAUUAAGAGGUUGACACAUGGUGGUGAAUGAUAAUUGGGAUUGUGAUGAAGGCAGCUAGGAGUAACCAAACGGCACAGAGGUUGGCUGGGCCGCUGGAAGUGGUACAAGCAGGACUGAUCAGUUCAGUGUGCAAUUUGAUCGAUCUGAAGAAGGUUGUAGAAGUUGUUGCUGCUAUGAUUUUAGACAACAGAUACAAGUCGCAACCCCCUUAUGACCUUUGUAAAUAAGCUGAUGAAUAUUUCCAGAGAUAAAAUGGCAACAUGCUGAAGAAGAUUCAUGGAAGAUAUCUCAAAAAUAGUUAGAAGGGUUAUGCCUCAACUAAUUUUUAGCAAUGUUAGCAAGUGCAAGGGUUAUGUCCAAGCAUGGAAUCGUCUCACUUUCUACUGCUGUAAAAAGAUUUCAUUCUUUAUUGAUUCUAUAUUUAUAUUCCAACAUUAUUUCUUUCUUUCA